UACGUAGGUGGCAAGCGUUGUCCGGAAUUACUGGGUGUAAAGCGCGUGUAGGCGGGAGGCCAAGUCUGCUGUGAAAUCGCCCGGCUCAACUGGGCGGGGUCGGUGGAAACUGGUCACCUGGAGGACAGUAGAGGCGAGUGGAAUUCCCGGUGUAGUGGUGAAAUGCGUAGAGAUCGGGAGGAACACCAGUGGCGAAGGCGGCUCGCUGGGCCGGACCUGACGCUGAGACGCGAAGGCGUGGGGAGCGAACGGG
rnacentral:rRNA from 1 species